AGAGUUUGAUCAUGGCUCAGGACGAACGCUGGCGGCGUGCCUAAUACAUGCAAGUAGAACGCUGAAAUCUGGUGCUUGCACCGGAUGGAUGAGUUGCGAACGGGUGAGUAACGCGUAGGUAACCUACCUCAUAGCGGGGGAUAACUAUUGGAAACGAUAGCUAAUACCGCAUAACAGUCUUUAACUCAUGUUAGAGGCUUGAAAGGGGCAAUUGCUUCACUAUGAGAUGGACCUGCGUUGUAUUAGCUAGUUGGUGAGGUAACGGCUCACCAAGGCGACGAUACAUAGCCGACCUGAGAGGGUGAUCGGCCACACUGGGACUGAGACACGGCCCAGACUCCUACGGGAGGCAGCAGUAGGGAAUCUUCGGCAAUGGGGGCAACCCUGACCGGGCAACGCCGCGUGAGUGAAGAAGGUUUUCGGAUCGUAAAGCUCUGUUGUAAGAGAAGAACGUGUGUGAGAGUGGAAAGUUCACACAGUGACGGUAUCUUACCAGAAAGGGACGGCUAACUACGUGCCAGCAGCCGCGGUAAUACGUAGGUCCCGAGCGUUGUCCGGAUUUAUUGGGCGUAAAGCGAGCGCAGGCGGUUUGAUAAGUCUGAAGUUAAAGGCUGUGGCUCAACCAUAGUACGCUUUGGAAACUGUCAAACUUGAGUGCAGAAGGGGAGAGUGGAAUUCCAUGUGUAGCGGUGAAAUGCGUAGAUAUAUGGAGGAACACCGGUGGCGAAAGCGGCUCUCUGGUCUGUAACUGACGCUGAGGCUCGAAAGCGUGGGUAGCGAACAGGAUUAGAUACCCUGGUAGUCCACGCCGUAAACGAUGAGUGCUAGGUGUUAGGCCCUUUCCGGGGCUUAGUGCCGCGGCUAACGCAUU
rnacentral:rRNA from 1 species